ACGAACCUCACAGGAGAGGCACAUCCACCAGAAUCCAUCAGUGGCUGUGAUCUUCGAAAGGUCCUCUUGUAUAUACUUCACUGAGAUUUUAUAUAGUUUCCUUUAAGGAUCACCUAUAAUUUCCUUUCUCAAUAUAGCAAGGUCAAUUGGAAAAAAAAAAUUUGAAAGGCAAAUACUGUGGUUAUCCAGAUAACCAUCACCUGUUUGGGAAAGAAAUAAACCUUUGUGCUGGUUAGAUUUUAUUUUCAACUUGACAUAAACUCGAGUCACCUGGGGAGAGAGAACUUCAAUUGAAGCAUGGCCCAGAGAGGACUGAUGUCUGGCUGUGUCUAUUGACAGUUCCCUAGGGGGACAGCAGAAGUAACUUUAGACGUGCCCUGACGGAGGCAAGUCAGCUCAUUAGGCGCUGCCUUCACAGCACUUUACCUUCAGCUCACAGAUGGAGACAAGGGCUCUUUGAAGGCGAUUUCGAGGCAGAUUCGCGUGGAGCAGCAUAAGUGGGGUUUCUGAGCUCAAUCUGGAGAGACAAGAGAUUCUCAGAGCGUGAGAACCGGGUAAAUCACGACAUGAAUCUCCACGCCAGCUGCUGAUAAACCGUGGCUUAGCUCUUAGGAUAAAAGUUGCAGAUACGCUUCCCUGGAACCAGGACAGGCAGAUGUCCCCAAGUCGUAUUAGGACACCACGAAGCAUCCCCAGUUAAUGAUACUUGCCCAGUGAAGAUUUUCUCACAGUACAAAUAACUGAAAAUUGUGAAUCAACCUAACUCAAGACCUAACAAUACCACUCCUGGGCAUAUACCCAAAAUAUGCUUAAUCAUAUCACAAGGACAUUUACUUGACUAUGUUCGUAGCAGCAUUAUCAAUAAUAGCCAGAACCUGGAAACAACCGAGAUGCCCCUCAACUGAAGAAUGGAUAAAGAAUAUGGUACAUUUACACAAUGGAGUAUUACACAGUGGCAAAAAAAAAAACGACAUCAUGAAAUUUGUAGGCAAAUGGAUGGAACUAGAAAAAAUCAUCCUGAAUGAGCUGCCAGCUUCCAAGUAUUCUGCACAGAGCUGUUCCUGUCACUGAUAAGAAGCAUUUUACUUCUACUUCUAGUUCGGUGACCUGACUACCAAAGUAAUCGAUUACUCACUACACGAUGACUCGUACCAUCCAUAUCUUCACAAGGACAGACUGCCAACAACAGCAUUUCUUUGGUCAGCAUUAAUAUAUUCCUAUUUUUAUUUUAAGUAAAAACUUCGAAUCAAAA